UACGAAGGGGGCUAGCGUUGUUCGGAUUUACUGGGCGUAAAGCGCACGUAGGCGGCUUUCUAAGUCAGGGGUGAAAUCCUGGAGCUCAACUCCAGAACUGCCUUUGAUACUGGAGAGCUUGAGUCCGGAAGAGGUGAGUGGAACUCCGAGUGUAGAGGUGAAAUGCGCAGAUAUCAGGAGGAACACCAAUAGCGAAGGCAGCUCGCUGGGACGUUACUGACGCUGAGGCACGAAAGCGUGGGGAGCAAACAGG
rnacentral:rRNA from 1 species